GUGACUUAAGAGGCUGGAGUUCUGUGAUCCAGGCCUUGGUUCAACUGUGUUGCCACCAGGCUGACCCACUGCCAUCUGGCGGCUCAGAGGUCUGAGGACAUCCGCGGAGAAUUUCACACGGAUGUAAGCGGCUGACAGUUGGAGCAGAUGCUGUCAGAUGUAAACAAUACGUUUGUAUGUCAGAGUCUGCAAAGGCAUUGAGAACAGAGAGCAGCAAGCUGAGGCUCCUAUUGGAGUGGGAUUGGACUCGCUCUGAGGAGGGUGAGUUCCAUCUAGACGAAUCUGGAAGAGCGUCAUGACCACAUCUCUGGCAGCAUGGAAAUGGAAGAUGGGCUUUGUGGAGGAAGAUUCAAUCUGUGGCCUUGGUGCACAGGGAAGCCAUGAAGGAGCUCUGGAUAGUUUUGUAGGAAGCGAUGUGUGCUGUGUAAUGGGAGGCUUUUGAGAGCCAUGAGUGAAGCUGGCAAUGACUAGAGGGCAGCGAAAGAGGGAUGAGGUACAAGAGCUCUUGUGAAAUGAAUUACACAGUUAAUAAAGUCGGGUGAUGGAA
rnacentral:sRNA from 1 species